AGGCUUGUUUGUAUUGUUAGGUUAACUAUGUUACAAAAUCUUUUUACGACAGGAUUCUAACCAUCAGAAACUUUAUAAAUGAUUUGGAAUGCUUUAUGUUUGCUGCAACACCACUGUGCACAGUAUUUCAGUCUAUUUCAACAGAGUUUGAUAUAUGCCUGAUGCUAGGAUGUAGUACCUAUAAAUAAAUAAAUACUAAAUACUAAGUAAAAUUUUGGAUUAAAUUUUAUUUACAAUUGUAUUAAAUUUUAAAUGAAAUCUAGAUGUAUUCAUCCUCAAUUUAUUUUGGUCCACCCACCAUAUUUAUUAUUUUUGUUGCCAGGUAUCUUGAAAGGCACCAUAGAUCAACUAGCAUAUCCAGCUCAGUAGAUUUUGAAGCAGACCAUGUGUGUUCUGUUCUAUUCUAUUCUAUUCUAUUCUAUUCUAUUCUAUUCUGCCAAAACAAGGUAUCUUGAAAUGCACCAUAGAUUGACUAGCAUAUCCAGCUCAGUAGAUUUUGAAGCAGACCAUGUGUGUUCUGUUCUAUUCUAUUCUAUUCUAUUCUAUUCUGCCAAAACAAGGUAUCUUGAAAUGCACCAUAGAUUGACUAGCAUAUCCAGCUCAGUAGAUUUUGAAGCAGACCAUGUGUGUUCUGUUCUAUUCUAUUCUAUUCUAUUCUAUUCUGCCAAAACAAGGUAUCUUGAAAUGCACCAUAGAUUGACUAGCAUAUCCAGCUCAGUAGAUUUUGAAGCAGACCAUGUGUGUUCUGUUCUGUUCUAUUCUAUUCUAUUCUAUUCUAUUCUAUUCUAUUCUAUUCUAUUCUGCCAAAACAAGGUAUCUUGAAAGGCACCAUAGAUUGACUAGCAUAUCCAGCUCAGUAGAUUUUGAAGCAGACCAUGUGUGUUCUGUUCUAUUCUGUUCUAUUCUGUUCUAUUCUAUUCUAUUCUAUUCUGCUAAAACAAGGUAUCUUGAAAGGCACUAUAGGUUGACUAGCAUAUCCAGCUCAGUAGAUUUUGAAGCAGACCAUGUGUGUUCUGUUCUGUUCUAUUCUAUUCUAUUCUAUUCUAUUCUAUUCUAUUCUAUUCUGCCAAAACAAGGUAUCUUGAAAGGCACCAUAGAUUGACUAGCAUAUCCAGCUCAGUAGAUUUUGAAGCAGACCAUGUGUGUUCUGUUCUAUUCUAUUCUAUUCUAUUCUAUUCUGCCAAAACAAGGUAUCUUGAAAGGCACCAUAGAUUGACUAGCAUAUCCAGCUUAGUAGAUUUUGAAGCAGACCAUGUGUGUUCUGUUCUAUUCUAUUCUAUUCUAUUCUAUUCUAUUCUGCCAAAACAAGGUAUCUUGAAAGGCACCAUAGAUUGACUAGCAUAUCCAGCUCAGUAGAUUUUGAAGCAGACUAUGUGCUUUCUAUUCUAUUCUAUUCUAUUCGGCCAAAACAAGGUAUCUUGAAAGCUCCCAUACAUUGACUAGCAUAUCCAGCUCAUUAGGUUUUGAAGCAGACCAUGUGUUUUGUUGUCCAUUCUUCUUUUGUGUUUGGUGGGUAUUCGAUAGUAGUAUUGGAACUGCUGCAGAAUGACAUCACUGUUUGUAUAUUUCCAGGAAAAAAGGGUUUUACAUUCCUGAGGUUUAAGGACCCUGAAAUUAAAGUGCACUCUGUGGUCAUUAAUAAUGAAUGUCCAUCGACUGUCAGAGCGCUUAACGAGAAUCGCAUUGAUUAGGCGUAAAUAAGAUGGACCUUGGUCUGAGGCCAAAUGUUCUUUGUUGCCAAGGCACUGUGUCCUUGUG